CGGCAGACCUAAAAAAACUGGAUUCACCAAGACCCUCCAGUUGUCUGGUUUAGCUGCUAGCAGUUACAGGGUUUAACCACUACAUUGCAGCUCACUAUGGGCGGCUGCAAAAAUCAUCAAAAAGGAAGAGUGCAAAAACAGGUAAUUUCAAAAUUAGUUGAGGUGUUUAGUUUAUGCAUGCAUGUUUCGUUGACCUUUUGAAGUUUUUUUGUUUUUUGGUUAAUCCUACUCACCUGACUAUUGCGGGUGCUGCUAACGAACGCAGGGCUGACACAUUCUCUUUAGGGGAAGUGCGAUGGGAAGGGAGAGAAAGCUGCAUGCAUUAUUAGAACCGGUGGAUGGCUGAUGCAUUACAAAUUUCACCAGAAUGGUCUUUUCCUUUGCAUUCGGGCAUAAUGAAGAUCGUCUGGGCAUAGGCACAUUAAUUGUGCGCGUGUGUGUACGCUAUAAUGCAAAGAGCUCCAGACUUGUUCGAGGUCUUCAGUUGAAGUCAGAACCAAGAAUACAACACAAGUUGCAACCUUAAUACAACUUCUUGUAUAUUUCUCAGAAAAAUGCUGUCGAAUGACUAGAAUAUUAUUCACUAGACCUACAGAGUACAGUGCAAAAUUUUAUGUAAAUACUAAAUAGAGGUCGCACUUGGUGCGAUGGCAAGUGCCUUCGC
rnacentral:sRNA from 1 species